GGUAGCGUGGCCUAGCGGUCUCAGGCGCUGGUUUAAGGCACCAGUCUCUUCAGAGACUUGGUUUCGAAUCCCACCACUGCCU
rnacentral:tRNA from 1 species